GACGAACGCUGGCGGCGUGCUUAACACAUGCAAGUCGAACGGAAAGGCCCUGCUUUUGUGGGGUUCUCGAUUGGCGAACGGGUGAGUAACACGUGAGUAACCUGCCCUUGACUUUGGGAUAACUUCAGGAAACUGGGGCUAAUACCGGAUAGGAGCUUCUGCUGCGUGGUGGGGGUUGGUAAGAUUCGGCGGUUGGGGAUGGACUCGCGGCUUAUCAGCUUGUUGGUGGGGUAGUGGCUUACCAAGGCUUUGACGGGUAGCCGGCCUGGGAGGGUGACCGGCCACAUUGGGACUGAGAUACGGACCAGACUCCUACGGGAGGCAGCAGUGGGGAAUAUUGCACAAUGGGCGGAAGCCUGAUGCAGAAACGCCGCGUGCGGGAUGACGGCCUUCGGGUUGUAAACCGCUUUCGCCUGUGACGAAGCGUGAGUGACGGUAAUGGGUAAAGAAGCACCGGCUAACUACGUG
rnacentral:rRNA from 1 species